rnacentral:rRNA from 1 species
CGUAGGGGGCAAGCGUUAUCCGGAUUUAUUGGGCGUAAAGAGCUCGUAGGCGGCCGUUCACGUCGGAUGUGAAAGCUCGGGGCUCAACCCCGAGAUGCCAUUCGAUACGGGACGGCUAGAGGUAGGCAGGGGAAAGUGGAAUUCCUGGUGUAGCGGUGAAAUGCGCAGAUAUCAGGAGGAACACCGGUGGCGAAGGCGGCUUUCUGGGCCUUACCUGACGCUGAGGAGCGAAAGCUGGGGGAGCAAACAGGAUUAGAUACCCUGGUAGUCCCAGCCGUAAACGUUGAGUGCUAGGUGUGGGGAGGUCUUCAACCCUUUCCGUGCCGAAGCUAACGCAUUAAGCACUCCGCCUGGGGAGUACGGUCGCAAGACUA